rnacentral:rRNA from 1 species
CUGUUUGAUCCUGGCUCAGGACGAACGCUGGCGGCGUGCUUAACACAUGCAAGUCGAACGGAAAGGCCCUGCUUUUGUGGGGUGCUCGAGUGGCGAACGGGUGAGUAACACGUGAGUAACCUGCCCUUGACUUUGGGAUAACUUCAGGAAACUGGGGCUAAUACCGGAUAGGAGCUCCUGCUGCAUGGUGGGGGUUGGAAAGUUUCGGCGGUUGGGGAUGGACUCGCGGCUUAUCAGCUUGUUGGUGGGGUAGUGGCUUACCAAGGCUUUGACGGGUAGCCGGCCUGAGAGGGUGACCGGCCACAUUGGGACUGAGAUACGGCCCAGACUCCUACGGGAGGCAGCAGUGGGAAUAUUGCACAAUGGGCGGAAGCCUGAUGCAGCAACGCCGCGUGCGGGAUGACGGCCUUCGGGUUGUAAACCGCUUUCGCCUGUGACGAAGCGUGAGUGACGGUAAUGGGUAAAGAAGCACCGGCUAACUACGUGCCAGCAGCCGCGGUGAUACGUAGGGUGCGAGCGUUGUCCGGAUUUAUUGGGCGUAAAGGGCUCGUAGGUGGUUGAUCGCGUCGGAAGUGUAAUCUUGGGGCUUAACCCUGAGCGUGCUUUCGAUACGGGUUGACUUGAGGAAGGUAGGGGAGAAUGGAAUUCCUGGUGGAGCGGUGGAAUGCGCAGAUAUCAGGAGGAACACCAGUGGCGAAGGCGGUUCUCUGGGCCUUUCCUGACGCUGAGGAGCGAAAGCGUGGGGAGCGAACAGGCUUAGAUACCCUGGUAGUCCACGCUGUAAACGGUGGGUACUAGGUGUGGGGUCCAUUCCACGGGUUCCGCGCCGUAGCUAACGCUUUAAGUACCCCGCCUGGGGAGUACGGCCGCAAGGCUAAAACUCAAAGGAAUUGACGGGGCCCCGCACAAGCGGCGGAGCAUGCGGAUUAAUUCGAUGCAACGCGUAGAACCUUACCUGGGUUUGACAUGGAUCGGGAGUGCUCAGAGAUGGGUGUGCCUCUUUUGGGGUCGGUUCACAGGUGGUGCAUGGCUGUCGUCAGCUCGUGUCGUGAGAUGUUGGGUUAAGUCCCGCAAC